rnacentral:rRNA from 1 species
CCCUAGUACGGCGAGUGAAGCGGGAAGAGCUCAAAUUUGAAAUCUGGUAGCCUUCGGUUGCCCGAGUUGUAAUCUAGAGAAGUGUUUUCCGCGUUGGCCCAUGUACAAGUCCCUUGGAACAGGGCGUCAUAGAGGGUGAGAAUCCCGUCCUUGACAUGGACCCCCAAUGCUUUGUGAUACACUUUCAACGAGUCGAGUUGUUUGGGAAUGCAGCUCAAAAUGGGUGGUGAAUUCCAUCUAAAGCUAAAUAUUGGCGAGAGACCGAUAGCGAACAAGUACCGUGAGGGAAAGAUGAAAAGCACUUUGGAAAGAGAGUUAAACAGUACGUGAAAUUGUUGAAAGGGAAACGAUUGAAGUCAGUCAUGCUCUUUGGAUUAAGCCGUUCUGCGGUGUAUUUCAUUGAGCGGGGUCAACAUCAGUUUUGAUCGCUGGAAAAGGGCAGGAGGAAGGUAGCACUCUCGGGUGAACUUAUAGCCUCUUGUCGUAUACAGUGAUUGGGACUGAGGAACGCAGCAUGCCUUUUGGCCGGGAUUCGUCCACGUACAUGCUUAGGAUGUUGACAUAAUGGCUUUAAACGACCCGUCUUGAAACACGGACCA